rnacentral:rRNA from 1 species
AAGCUGGCGUCUUCGGCGUCCGCGUUGUAAUCUCGAGACGUGUUUUCCGUGCGGCUCUAUGGACAAGUCCCUUGGAACAGGGCAUCGUAGAGGGUGAAAAUCCCGUACUUGCCAUGGAAGUACCGUGCUUUGUGAUACACGCUCCAAGAGUCGAGUAGUUUGGGAUUGCUGCUCAAAGUGGGUGGUAGACUCCAUCUAAAGCUAAAUAUCGGGGAGAGACCGAUAGCGAACAAGUACCGUGAGGGAAAGAUGAAAAGCACUUUGGAAAGAGAGUUAAAAGUACGUGAAAUUGUCGAAAGGGAAGCACUUGAAGUCAGCCAUGCUGCUUGAGACUCAGCCUGGCUUUUGCUUGGUGUAUUUCUCGGUAGCAAGCCAGCAUUGGUUUGUGUCGUCGGAGAAGCGUAUGGGGAAUGUGGCAUCCUCGGAUGUGUUAUAGCCCUGUGCAGGAUACGACGACGUAGACCAAGGAACGCAGUGUGCCCUCUGGG